rnacentral:lncRNA from 1 species
GGGAAAACAAUCCAAAGUCUCUUGUUCUGGACAGUUGGGAUUUGCAACAACCUUCUGUUUCAUGCCCAGCCAGUUUUCGAAGAUGGAAGGUGGAAGCAUACCUACGGAUUUUUGAUUGGGUUGCAAAGAGGGUGAAAUAGCUGUUAUUUGGUUUCUGGCCGAUUAAAUCGGUCUCAAUCCCCUGCUUGUAAUGUAACCUCAAUCACACCUAUGUUUGAUGAUAGACCUCUAAAAAUCAGAAGUGGUCCCAAAACCCAAAUCCAAUCAGGAGCAUGUUGCUCACAGGCGCAGUCCUGAAUCUUCC